AAGCCAUAAUUUAAAUACUGAAUAACCGAGAAAAAAAAUGAGGCCACAGAGGCAAAAAUAAGGGCAAUUUUAGCUACUAAUAGCCAAUAAAAGUUAAUUAUAUUUCUAACUAGGAAAGUUAGGAUUUUAAUUUUUUUAUUUUUAUUUUUUGAGACAGUCUUGCUUUGUCGCCCCAGCUGCAGUGCAGCGGCUUGAUCUCGGCAUACUGAGACAGGGGAAAGAGAAAAACGGAAGAUUACAUCCCCCAACAUUCCACUAAAACCAGCAUUCAGACUGCUAUUCCAAUCACCAUUUUCCAGUCCAUUUUUACUAGCUCUCUCCACUGUGCUUCCUGGUGGUGAAAAUUAAAAAAGAGUGUGGCACUUCCCCCUCUCGCCAUGUGACAUGUCUGCUCCCGCUAUGCCUUCCACCAUGAGUAAAAGCUCCCUGAGACCUUCCCAAAAGCCAAGCAGACGGUGGCACCAUGCUUCCUGUACAGCCUGCAGAACCACCAGCCAAUUAAACCUCUUUUCUUCAUAAAUUACCCGGUCUCAGUUUAUAAGUAC
rnacentral:lncRNA from 1 species